UGUGUGUUAGUGGAAGCGUCUGGAAAGGCGCGCGAUACAGGGUGACAGCCCCGUACACAAAAAUGCACAUGCUGUGAGCUCGAUGAGUAGGGCGGGACACGUGGUAUCCUGUCUGAAUAUGGGGGGACCAUCCUCCAAGGCUAAAUACUCCUGACUGACCGAUAGUGAACCAGUACCGUGAGGGAAAGGCGAAAAGAACCCCGGCGAGGGGAGUGAAAAAGAACCUGAAACCGUGUACGUACAAGCAGUGGGAGCACGCUUAGGCGUGUGACUGCGUACCUUUUGUAUAAUGGGUCAGCGACUUAUAUUCUGUAGCAAGGUUAACCGAAUAGGGGAGCCGAAGGGAAACCGAGUCUUAACUGGGCGUUAAGUUGCAGGGUAUAGACCCGAAACCCGGUGAUCUAGCCAUGGGCAGGUUGAAGGUUGGGUAACACUAACUGGAGGACCGAACCGACUAAUGUUGAAAAAUUAGCGGAUGACUUGUGGCUGGGGGUGAAAGGCCAAUCAAACCGGGAGAUAGCUGGUUCUCCCCGAAAGCUAUUUAGGUAGCGCCUCGUGAAUUCAUCUCCGGGGGUAGAGCACUGUUUCGGCAAGGGGGUCAUCCCGACUUACCAACCCGAUGCAAACUGCGAAUACCGGAGAAUGUUAUCACGGGAGACACACGGCGGGUGCUAACGUCCGUCGUGAAGAGGGAAACAACCCAGACCGCCAGCUAAGGUCCCAAAGUCAUGGUUAAGUGGGAAACGAUGUGGGAAGGCCCAGACAGCCAGGAUGUUGGCUUAGAAGCAGCCAUCAUUUAAAGAAAGCGUAAUAGCUCACUGGUCGAGUCGGCCUGCGCGGAAGAUGUAACGGGGCUAAACCAUGCACCGAAGCUGCGGCAGCGACGCUGAUGCGUUGUUGGGUAGGGGAGCGUUCUGUAAGCCUGCGAAGGUGUGCUGUGAGGCAUGCUGGAGGUAUCAGAAGUGCGAAUGCUGACAUAAGUAACGAUAAAGCGGGUGAAAAGCCCGCUCGCCGGAAGACCAAGGGUUCCUGUCCAACGUUAAUCGGGGCAGGGUGAGUCGACCCCUAAGGCGAGGCCGAAAGGCGUAGUCGAUGGGAAACAGGUUAAUAUUCCUGUACUUGGUGUUACUGCGAAGGGGGGACGGAGAAGGCUAUGUUGGCCGGGCGACGGUUGUCCCGGUUUAAGCGUGUAGGCUGGUUUUCCAGGCAAAUCCGGAAAAUCAAGGCUGAGGCGUGAUGACGAGGCACUACGGUGCUGAAGCAACAAAUGCCCUGCUUCCAGGAAAAGCCUCUAAGCAUCAGGUAACAUCAAAUCGUACCCCAAACCGACACAGGUGGUCAGGUAGAGAAUACCAAGGCGCUUGAGAGAACUCGGGUGAAGGAACUAGGCAAAAUGGUGCCGUAACUUCGGGAGAAGGCACGCUGAUAUGUAGGUGAAGUCCCUCGCGGAUGGAGCUGAAAUCAGUCGAAGAUACCAGCUGGCUGCAACUGUUUAUUAAAAACACAGCACUGUGCAAACACGAAAGUGGACGUAUACGGUGUGACGCCUGCCCGGUGCCGGAAGGUUAAUUGAUGGGGUUAGCGCAAGCGAAGCUCUUGAUCGAAGCCCCGGUAAACGGCGGCCGUAACUAUAACGGUCCUAAGGUAGCGAAAUUCCUUGUCGGGUAAGUUCCGACCUGCACGAAUGGCGUAAUGAUGGCCAGGCUGUCUCCACCCGAGACUCAGUGAAAUUGAACUCGCUGUGAAGAUGCAGUGUACCCGCGGCAAGACGGAAAGACCCCGUGAACCUUUACUAUAGCUUGACACUGAACAUUGAGCCUUGAUGUGUAGGAUAGGUGGGAGGCUUAGAAGUGUGGACGCCAGUCUGCAUGGAGCCGACCUUGAAAUACCACCCUUUAAUGUUUGAUGUUCUAACGUUGACCCGUAAUCCGGGUUGCGGACAGUGUCUGGUGGGUAGUUUGACUGGGGCGGUCUCCUCCUAAAGAGUAACGGAGGAGCACGAAGGUUGGCUAAUCCUGGUCGGACAUCAGGAGGUUAGUGCAAUGGCAUAAGCCAGCUUGACUGCGAGCGUGACGGCGCGAGCAGGUGCGAAAGCAGGUCAUAGUGAUCCGGUGGUUCUGAAUGGAAGGGCCAUCGCUCAACGGAUAAAAGGUACUCCGGGGAUAACAGGCUGAUACCGCCCAAGAGUUCAUAUCGACGGCGGUGUUUGGCACCUCGAUGUCGGCUCAUCACAUCCUGGGGCUGAAGUAGGUCCCAAGGGUAUGGCUGUUCGCCAUUUAAAGUGGUACGCGAGCUGGGUUUAGAACGUCGUGAGACAGUUCGGUCCCUAUCUGCCGUGGGCGCUGGAGAACUGAGGGGGGCUGCUCCUAGUACGAGAGGACCGGAGUGGACGCAUCACUGGUGUUCGGGUUGUCAUGCCAAUGGCACUGCCCGGUAGCUAAAUGCGGAAGAGAUAAGUGCUGAAAGCAUCUAAGCACGAAACUUGCC
rnacentral:rRNA from 1 species